AACGUAGGACACAAGCGUUAUCCGGAGUUACUGGGCGUAAAGGGCGUGUAGGCGGAUGGGUAAGUCUAUUCUGAAAGCUCCUGGCUAAACUGGGAGAGGCGAAUGGAGACUGCUGAUCUAGAGUGAGGAAGAGGAAAGUGGAAUUCCGCGUGUAGUGGUGAAAUGCGUAGAGAUGCGGAGGAACACCAGUGGCGAAGGCGGCAUCCUGGACCGGCAUUGACGCUGAGGCGCGAAAGCUAGGGGAGCAAAC
rnacentral:rRNA from 1 species